GGGCCCGCACAAGCGGUGGAGCAUGUGGUUUAAUUCGAUGAUACGCGAGGAACCUUACCAGGACUUAAAUGUAAGUUGCAUGAUUCAGAAAUGAAUCUUUCUUCGGACUACUUACAAGGUGCUGCAUGGUUGUCGUCAGCUCGUGCCGUGAGGUGUCAGGUUAAGUCCUAUAACGAGCGCAACCCCUAUCGUUAGUUGCCAUCAAGUAAAGUUGGGAACUCUAGCGAAACUGCCGGUGCAAACCGAGAGGAAGGUGGGGAUGACGUCAAAUCAUCACGGCCCUUACGUUCUGGGCUACACACGUGCUACAAUGGUCGGUACAGAAAGCAGCCACUAUGCGAGUAGGAGCGAAUCUACAAAACCGGUCUCAGUUCGGAUCGCAGUCUGCAACUCGACUGCGUGAAGCUGGAAUCGCUAGUAAUCGCAUAU
rnacentral:rRNA from 1 species